rnacentral:rRNA from 1 species
AAGAUUAAGCCAUGCAUGUCUAAGUAUAAGCAACUAUACGGUGAAACUGCGAAUGGCUCAUUAAAUCAGUUAUCGUUUAUUUGAUAGUACCUUACUACAUGGAUAACCGUGGUAAUUCUAGAGCUAAUACAUGCUAAAAGCCUCGACUUCGGAAGAGGUGUACUUAUUAGAUAAAAAACCAAUGCCCUUCGGGGCUGCUUGGUGAAUCAUAAUAAUUUCACGAAUCGCAUGGCCUUGCGCCGGCGAUGGUUCAUUCAAAUUUCUGCCCUAUCAACUUUCGAUGGUAGGAUAGUGGCCUACCAUGGUUUCAACGGGUAACGGGGAAUUAGGGUUCGACUCCGGAGAGGGAGCCUGAGAAACGGCUACCACAUCCAAGGAAGGCAGCAGGCGCGCAAAUUACCCAAUGCCGACACGGCGAGGUAGUGACAAUAAAUACUGAUCCAGGGCUCUUUCGGGUCUUGGAAUUGGAAUGAGUACAAUUUAAAUCCCUUAACGAGGAACAACUGGAGGCA